rnacentral:lncRNA from 1 species
CCAUUGCGAUCUGAAUUGCGAGUUGAGAUUUUCUCGGUGAUGCGUCGUCGUUCUCGUCCAUUCUUGAUGGUCGGUCUUCUUCGACUUUAGGGUCGAGAAAUUGGAACACCUGUUCUAGGGUUUCUUUGUACUCGCAAGCGUAUUUUAGGUAAUUCAUUAUGUAGCGUGUUAAUGGAUGAACUGCUCCUCCUGGAACUGGAAUUUUCGCGUUGUCACUUUUGAUUGAGUUCUCUAGGUCGUAGAAAAUGCCGACUAUUGCUUCGCCUAUCCCGUUUUUUGUCCCUUCCGCUUCGGUAAUUAGCUCUGUUCUGCAAUUUUCAGGGAAGCCAUUGAUCGUCGGAACUAAAUCGCGGAUGGUUUCGUACAUGUCAAGUAAUUUGAACAUCUUCUCCGCCGAUCGUUUUGUUAAAACGACGGCGUUUGCAAAGUUGAGAAGCUUGAUGACUACUGCUCUUGUUAAAUUGCUGAA